CCUGUGUGAGUAGCUCAGCUCAGAGCGCCGGUCUUGUAAGCCGGAUGCCGAGGGUUAAAAUCCCUCCUCCC
rnacentral:tRNA from 1 species